UACAGAGGUGGCAAGCGUUGUUCGGAAUUACUGGGCGUAAAGGGCGCGUAGGCGGUUCGUUAAGUCCUGUGUGAAAUCCCCCGGCUCAACUGGGGAACUGCACAGGAAACUAGCGGGCUUGAGUUCGGGAGAGGGAAGCGGAAUUCCGGGUGUAGCGGUGAAAUGCGUAGAUAUCUGGAGGAACACCGGUGGCGAAGGCGGCAUCCUGGACCGGCAUUGACGCUGAGGAGCGAAAGCCAGGGGAGCAAACGGG
rnacentral:rRNA from 1 species